UCCUACGGGGGGCAGCAGUGAGGAAUAUUGGUCAAUGGGCGCAAGCCUGAACCAGCCAAGUCGCGUGAGGGAAGACGGUCCUAUGGAUUGUAAACCUCUUUUGUCGGGGAGCAAAGCGCGGUACGAGUACCGCGAAGGAGAGUACCCGAAGAAAAAGCAUCGGCUAACUCCGUGCCAGCAGCCGCGGUAAUACGGAGGAUGCGAGCGUUAUCCGGAUUUAUUGGGUUUAAAGGGUGCGUAGGCGGAUUUGUAAGUCAGCGGUAAAAAUGCGGUGCUCAACGCCGCAUCGCCGUUGACACUGCAGG
rnacentral:rRNA from 1 species